AUUGAACGCUGGCGGCAUGCUUUACACAUGCAAGUCGAACGGCAGCGCGGGCUUCGGCCUGGCGGCGAGUGGCGAACGGGUGAGUAAUAUAUCGGAACGUACCCAAGAGUGGGGGAUAACGUAGCGAAAGUUACGCUAAUACCGCAUACGAUCUAAGGAUGAAAGCAGGGGAUCGCAAGACCUUGUGCUCCUGGAGCGGCCGAUAUCUGAUUAGCUAGUUGGUGGGGUAAAGGCCCACCAAGGCAACGAUCAGUAGCUGGUCUGAGAGGACGACCAGCCACACUGGAACUGAGACACGGUCCAGACUCCUACGGGAGGCAGCAGUGGGGGAAUUUUGGACAAUGGGGGGCAACCCUGAUCCAGCAAUGCCGCGUGAGUGAAGAAGGCCUCGGUUGUAAG
rnacentral:rRNA from 1 species